CCUACCGGGGGCAGCAGUGGGGGAUAUUGCACAAUGGGGGGAACCCUGAUGCAGCGACGCCGCGUGGGUGAAGGAGCGUUUCGGCGCGUAAAGCCCUAUCGGCAGGGAAGAAGGAGGACGGUACCUGACUAAGAAGCCCCGGCUAACUACGGGCCAGCAGCCGCGGUAAUCCGUGGGGGGUCAGCGUUAUUCGGAUGUACUGGGGGGAAAGGGGGCGAAGGCGGUAGCGAAAGCCAGGGGUGAAAGCCCGGGGCCCAACCCCGGGACUGCUGUUGGAACUGGGAGGCUGGAGUGCAGGAGGGGCAGGCGGAAUUCCAGGUGUAGCGGUGAAAUGCGUAGAUAUCAGGAGGAACACCGGUGGCGAAGGCGGCCUGCUGGACUGCGACUGACGUUGAGGCCCGAAAGCGUGGGGAGCAAACAGGAUUAGAUACCCCUGUAGUC
rnacentral:rRNA from 1 species